CGCGAACCAACUCGUACGCGGGCCGUUUUAGGAGUGGUUUCGAGGAUUGGGUUGGCAUGGUUGGGAAGAAUUUGGGAAUAGUGUGACGGGUAGUCCGUAGUUCAAUGUGUGACCGUUGUGUGUGAUUGGGAGUGAACCCGUGAAUGAUGAUAAUAAAGUAACUGAUUUUUGUAGUUAGACGAGUGUUGUAUCGUUUUGUGCAUACCUGUACUGUAGCCUUGUCACGUCAAAUUUAAUUCCAUAUAUUAAUGCAACGAUGUACCAGUUGCAUUUUUCGUGUUUUUUUAAUCAAUGUACCUGUCAGUCAAUUAAUUGUCACCAUUGUCAAACUGACCCAAUUGACCUCCCCAUUGUUUUAAUUUACAAAAUAUAAUUUGGAUACAUAAUAAUUAGGACUAAAAAAUAAUCGGACCCAAGCAAAACAUUGAUUUUUAGUGACCCAAGAAAAUCGCAUUUGACCCAAGAAACCUCGCAUUUCCGGUGAAAUUAUAUAAAAUUCAGAUUUUAACAAAAAAUAAAAAUCAACUCCCCAUUUUUUCUUUUUUACAAAAUAUUAUUUGGAUAUACAAUAAUUAGGACUAAAAAACUAUCUGACCCAAGCAAAAACUGGCGGACACUGUCCGUACAACUGUAUAAGCAUGCGUGAUGCUAUAUUCCUUUUUUUAUAGUAGCUCCUUUUUAUACAAUAGACCUCGCAAAUAUCGGUGUUUUCUUGUCAUUUUACUUGUCUAACCAACCAGCAAUUGUACCGCGGCAUACACAGUGCGCGGUGCGGCGGGAACCAAUCAUACUGGUUAUCGCGAAGACAACUUCCCAAUCAAUCAAGCGAACUUGUAAAAAAA